rnacentral:rRNA from 1 species
ACCUAGUAGUACGGAAUAGCCAUUAGAAAUGGUGGGUAAUACUGUAUAAUCCCCGAGGGGGAAAGAUUUAUCGCUAUUAGAUGAGCCUACGUUAGAUUAGCUAGUUGGUGAGGUAAUGGCUUACCAAGGCUAUGAUCUAUAGCUGGUCUGAGAGGACGAUCAGCCACACUGGAACUGAGAUACGGUCCAGACUCCUACGGGAGGCACCAGUGGGGAAUAUUGGACAAUGGGGGAAAGCCUGAUCCAGUUAUGCCGCGCGAACGAAGAAGGCCUUCGGGUUGUAAAACUCUUUCAAUAGGGAAGA